AAUAUGACGCAAUGGAGGGAACGCUGACGCGGCGACGCCGCGUGAGCGAUGAAGGUCNNNGGAUCNUCCAGCUCUGUCCUUGGNGAGNAAGGUCUUCGGACUUGACGGUACCUAUGGAGGAAGCCCCGGCCAACUACGUGCCAGCAGCCGCGGUAAUACGUGGGGGGCAAGCGUUGUCCGGAAUUAUUGGGCGUAAAGGGUGCGUAGGCGGCCUGUUAAGUCAGAUGUGAAAGCCCACGGCUUAACCGUGGGACUGCAUUUGAAACGGGAGGGCUUGAGUAUCGGAGAGGGUAGUGGAAUUCCCAGUGUAGCGGUGAAAUGCGUAGAUAUUGGGAGGAACACCAGUGGCGAAGGCGACUACCUGGACGAUUACUGACGCUGAUGCACGAAAGCUAGGGGAGCAAACA
rnacentral:rRNA from 1 species